rnacentral:miRNA from 1 species
AUACCAAGGAUCCACGGAUAUG